rnacentral:rRNA from 1 species
UGGGGAAUUUUGGACAAUGGGGGAAACCCUGAUCCAGCCAUCCCGCGUGUUCGAUGAAGGCCUUCGGGUUGUAAAGCACUUUUGGCAGGAAAGAAACGUCAUGGGUUAAUACCCCGUGAAACUGACGGUACCUGCAGAAUAAGCACCGGCUAACUACGUGCCAGCAGCCGCGGUAAUACGUAGGGUGCAAGCGUUAAUCGGAAUUACUGGGCGUAAAGCGUGCGCAGGCGGUUCGGAAAGAAAGAUGUGAAAUCCCAGAGCUCAACUUUGGAACUGCAUUUUUAACUACCGGGCUAGAGUGUGUCAGAGAGAGGUGGAAUUCCGCGUGUAGCAGUGAAAUGCGUAGAUAUGAGGAGGAACACCGAUGGCGAAGGCAGCCUCCUGGGAUAACACUGACGCUCAUGCACGAAAGCGUGGGGAGCAAACAGG